rnacentral:sRNA from 1 species
GGUCCCCAACACUUCCGGCUGCAGUGUUGUUACCAUGACCUAUAGAAGCACAUGUCCCAGUGGACUAUCCUCUGACAAGGCUACUCUGCCCUUCAAGCUCAUGGGAUGACUGCCCUGACUCCAUCCAGGAGACCUGGCCUUAGAAGUUACUACUAUCACGGAGGUGAUGGUAAGGCCAGGAGGACCAUGACAGUGGGAGGCUGCAUGUGAAAAUGAAGGGUGGCCCAGCAUUACCUGGAAGCUACAUGGUUUAACCCCUGAGUCCCUCUUCAGACCUUCAUUCUAUGCUGGUGUCCUCCUAGUCGCAACUCUGUCACCAGAAGACAGCAAUGUCUUCCCAGAAUCCCUCAGCCUUGCUUCUCAGUCUUGAGACUUGAAGAGCCUAGAGGAGGCCUCUACAGAUUAGUCAGUGGGUGGCCCCUGAUGUCUGCCAUUUCAUUUCCUUGGGAUUGUGUUCUGUAUGUGCACUGUCUGAUACAGCUUGGCUCUCAGUACUUACCAUGCUGCCUGUUCAUCAUGCCCUGGACUGUGCCUGCCCCUGUUCCCCUGUAGCAUCAUGGAAGCCAUCGCUCCCUUCAGAGGCCUGACUUCAUUCUUACCGGCAAGGAUUUAGGGUGAAGAUUGGCUCUGAGAGGUGACCCCAGCUUCCAUCCUGUCUCUAUACAUUCAUGUGAUCUGUCCUUUAGUCAGUUGCCAUUCACUAUGCACAGUGAUGUGCAAGGCCCUCGCUAGGGGCUGGAUCCCAGGAUCACUAUUGUGGUGGACAAGCUGUGCCCAAGGAGCUGACACUCGGGCAGGGUCCAAGGCACUCGGGAAGACAAAGGUGGUGAGGUGAUGGGAAAGUCAGAAGACGAGGAGGGCAUCUUGAUAGGAGGACAAUGUUGGAAUCCCAGAAAAAAGAAGCCAAGUUCCUCCAUGGGGCUCCACCAUUCUUCUCAUAUAUAUGCAUGUUGACUUUCUAAGCAGAUGCCUCCAGUUAUGAUUCUGACCAUCAGUAAGCACUUAAUGGUCAUGAGGCUUCCCUGACAGGAACAAAACAGGACUGAGCCAAAAUCUCAUUUCUGUGCUCCAAAGUCCUUCCCUGUUUGUGGUUGCUGAGGACGGUCUGAAGAGAAAAGACGGGAGCCUGCUGUGUCAGUGAAUGCCCAACCUCUGGAACUCUGUGAGUUGGAACUGUAGUUGCUGCUAAUGCUGCUGCCUCUGAGGCAAAAAUCUAGUUCAGCUUGUGAGAAGAUGAGCUUUCCAUCCUCCAACCUGAACUUUCUGUCUCAGAGCAGACGGUGUGUACACUUGAAAGGAAAGACCAGAUCCUGGUGCUUUCCCACAAGAUGCUGCUGGAUAUGGCCCCGUGGCAGGCCAAGAGCCUCUGUCUGCCAGACAGGAGACACCGUCACUGAGUCCAGCAAGCUCACGUGCAUCAUCACAAGCAGAUGUUGGAUGGAGGUCUGGGAAACACAGUGUGGACACGUGUGAUUUAGGUCCUCCAUUUCAGUGCCUAGACCUAGAAUUCCUCUGCACGUUGGGGCUUGGAAAAUGGCCACGUGCAGAGGGGCUGGCAGUUCAGGGAGCAGGGACAAAUCUGCACGGUCCUACCUCCCAGAAGAUGAGGCGAGGCGUUGCGGUUAGCAUGACUCGUGACAUGAAGCACUCAGAGGUUCACCACGAAUCUGAAAGUCAAGACACCGACCUCCAUUAAUAUUGUCUUCCUUAGCCUUCCCUUAGAGACAAAACUGAAAGUCACCGUGGACCUUAUCUUUAACAUGCUGAGUUCAUCUCAACAUUUAUCAUCGUGAAUAGACCUUCUAACCAACACUAAGAAUUCAUUUCCCAGAAAAUGGAACAUCCUUGUGGCCAUGACAUCUCUGGACUCUCAUAAGCCCAUCCUGGUGGAGGGUAGAGCUCUGUCAGUCAUGGGAGCAGUGCGUCUCUGCAGGUCAAGAUGAGUGGAUUCGUGGAAACUUUUAUCAAAAUGUGUUAAUGAUCUCAAGCAUUUGACUGUUAACUAUGGAGGAAGAACCAUUGGCCAUCAUCCUCACCCGUGGAUGUGUCUAUAUGUCCGUCCCAGCCCUUGAGCUGUCAAGUCUCCAGGGGAAAACUUCGUAGGGGAAGGUGCAGGAUCUACGUGUGGGUCUCUUUGCUUGCCUUCAGUACACGGAUAACACAGGUGAUGCUUCCUCU